GUGGCUCCUUUAGGCUACUGAGAGAAGACUGCACGCCCGCUGUGCUGAGAAAGCCCAAGUGUGGGCUUCAUGACCGCCCCUCAGAGGCUGUUGUGAAAGACCCUGUGGAGGGUGCACAGGAAGAUGACUCACAUCCAGGCAGGAUGGAGCAGGACAGCCUGAGGGGCCCCUGCAGGUGUUGUAUGGAGAAGGGAACCAUGCAAAAGAGAGAAGAAAACCCAGUGCAUAUUGACUUCAUCAACCCGUAUCAGACUUCCAGGACUCUGCUAAAAGUUGAUAUGGGAACAUCACACUGACCUCCUGGAGACAGCAGGGAAAGCAACAGCUACUGCAUCUCAGGGGUCUCUCCAGAGUCAUGACUUCACGGCCCAGAUUAUCCAGGAUCCUCAAGGUGAAGGGUCUAGAGGCUCCACAGCAGUUCCGAGUGCAGCAGUCCGUAUCUU